rnacentral:rRNA from 1 species
CCUACGGGAGGCAGCAGUGAGGAAUAUUGGUCAAUGGGCGCGAGCCUGAACCAGCCAAGUCGCGUGAGGGAGGACGGCCCUACGGGUUGUAAACCUCUUUUGCCGGGGAGCAACGGGCGCCACGUGUGGCGUCACUGAGAGUACCCGGAGAAAAAGCAUCGGCUAACUCCGUGCCAGCAGCCGCGGUAAUACGGAGGAUGCGAGCGUUAUCCGGAUUUAUUGGGUUUAAAGGGUGCGUAGGCGGAUCGUUAAGUCAGUGGUCAAAUUGAGGGGCUCAACCCCUUCCCGCCAUUGAAACUGGCGUUCUUGAGUGGAAGAGAAGUAUGCGGAAUUCGUGGUGUAGCGGUGAAAUGCUUAGAUAUCACGAAGAACUCCGAUUGCGAAGGCAGCUUACUAAACUGCCACUGACAUUGAUGCUCGAAAGUGUGGGGAGCAAACAGGAUUAGAUACCCGUGUAGUC